UUCCUUUCUACAGGUUUUGAUAAAUCUCCCCAUAAGACUCUGCUCCCUGGUUUAGACCUAAGCCAAAUCCUUGUUGGCCUUAUGACACUUACAUUUACCUACAGUGGCUGCCGAAAUGUUGACACCAUAUAUGCAAGAUAUAAUAAUAACAAAGCGAUGGUUACAUGAAGAGUGAAUAUAAAAAGUGAUGAGUGCUGCAUGAAGCGUGAUGACUAUUAUGAGGAGUAAUAUGUGUGAUGAGGGAUACGUCUUGGGUAACUAAGGUUCAAGACGUCUUUAAGUUCAACCUCUCAUGACUCCAAGGCCACAUGUACCAUUGACAAUAAAUGAAACUUCCUGGAACUCACCAAAUUCCAUCUUUCAUUCACCGAAACACGCCCUGUUUCUCUAUUUGCAUAAUGUAAAUAAAGUUUUCUUCUGCUUGCAAGUUUAGGAAAUACUGGCUCCAUCCUUAAUUUUAAUGUCCCUGAGCUAGUCGGUAGAGACUAUCUACUAUGAAGAUUGAUUCCAAACACUGCAAACACACAGAAGAGGCGAUCCUGCUCCCCUGUAUUUCCAUAGCACAAUCUCAGAAGCAGCAGCAGCAACAAGGAGGACAUUAUAGAGCAGUACUAAGCUCGGAAUCCAGCA